GGAAAGAUGAAGGGGAGCGAAAAAAUAUCACGAAAAUCAAGAAAACAGCAAGCAGUUGAUGAUUAUAUUUUCAACCUACCUUUUGCAUAAUGGGUCAACGAGUACAUCCUUUUUAUUUGCUAGUAUCUAGCAAAUAAAAAGGAUGUUAUUCAGGCGUACUGGAAAAAAAGUGUAUAUUGGUUUGAAGGACUUUGCCCGAAAGCGAGUGAUCCACCUCUGAACAGGUAGCAAAAGAAGUGAAAUUCUUUGAAAGACGGAAUUCAUGUAUGUUGCAAAAUACUAAGAUGAUUUGGGAGUAGAGUUCAAGG
rnacentral:rRNA from 1 species